AGGCCAUCGUAUUAAUUAUAGUCGAUCAGUUUUCAUGUUUUCUCAUUAAUCCUCACAGUUCUCUUAGAUCCAGGGAGGAUUCUUUACUUACUGCUUCCCCUUUCUGUAAUGUUUUCUGACUAUAAAAAGAUUAACAUUUCGGAUGUCUUGGAGUCUAUUGUCUCUACAGUUUGGGCAUGUGUGGUUUAGCAUCUUGGCUGGGGCUUUUGAUUGCUCUUCAGUUUAUUUCUUCCCUUGAAAUCUGUUUGUCUUCCAGAUUCUCAUCCAAAACAUUGCAUGGCAGGGGGUUCUCAGGCUUCACUGCAGCUUUGAAAUACACUCUUUGAACUUCACUGUCAGCCUGAUAGAUGUUGUUGGGGCUUUGUCGAAAGCCUCACAGGAAGAAAACAUAAAAGCAGGCUUAAAAGUAUAAAUGGCUUAAAAACAGGAUUAGACAAAAUCACGAAGAACAGUUUUAUCAUAUGCCAUUAAGUACAGCAGCUUCGCUGCAUUUCAGUUCCCUAAGCCUUUGACUACAAAAACAGAGGAAGAAAGUAGUCUCUCUAUAUUGGUUUGUUUCCUUCUACUACUCCCCUGUAUCCAAAAGUAAUGCCUCCUAUUUUAUUCUGUUGGCCCACAGCAUCAGAGGUGGAUGUUGGUGGUGUAAGAAUAUCCCACUGUGAGGUGGUGGGUGGUGCAUUUCAGCAUGGUGCCAGUGAUGUGAAUGACAAGGGGUGAGCCUUCUGGCUUUCAUGGAACCUGGACAGAUCAUCAACUCUGACCACUACAUCACAAUGUUGAGGCUCAAACUCCCAGAGUCAGGACAGAGAAGAAGACAACCUUUCUCUUGCAACACGAUAACACCAGGCCCCAUGCCAGUUUGAAGACUGUGGAGCACAUUGCCAAUCUUGGCUGGACUGUCCUACCACACUCACUGUACAAUCCAGAUUUGGCACCUUCUGAUUUCCAUCUGUUUGGGCCAAUGAAAGAUGGACAGUAUGGGCAACAUUUUCCUAGCAACAUUGCUGUCAUAGCAGCUGUGGAUCAUCUGUGAUGGUGCAAAUGUUUACGAGUGCAGCAUGCAGGCUCUUGUUCACUGCUGGUAAAAAUGCAUAGCUAAUGGUGGUGACUGUGUAGAAAAACAGUGUUUUGUAGCUGAGAAUCACAGAAUUAUCAAGGUUGGAAAAGACCUAGAAGAUCAUCUAGUCCAAUCAUUACCAAUAUUUCCCAGCUAAAUCAUAUUCAUAUUCAUAUAUUCAGAAUGUGCUCUAUCAAACAAUGUUAUCAUGCUCUUUAUAACUGUCGUAGUUUCUAUGGAUAUAAAUAAGAGGCACUACUUCCAGAGAAACGUGUGUAUUGUCUUCUGGGCAGCCAAAAACAAGAUGCAGGGAGAUUCAAACAACAGGAGAUAAAAAAACAACUUGAAAGCACAAUUAGGAGGGCUGCAGUACCUCUGUGCCAGGCUUUAAGUACAUAUCCAGUGUCUUCUCCUGCAGGAGCUUUUUAGUGGGGCUGAAUUAGGGCCCUGCUGGGACUGUGGGGGCUGCGAAGGGCAGUAUCCACAUGUGAUCUGGACAAUAGCACAACACUAAUUGGCAGAUGUUAGCAUUAGAGGAACAGUAAUAAAGAUGAUUUUGUUAUUCCUCUGCA
ensembl:lncRNA